rnacentral:rRNA from 1 species
GACGAACGCUGGCGGCGUGCUUAACACAUGCAAGUCGAACGGAAAGGCCCUGCUUUUGUGGGGUGCUCGAGUGGCGAACGGGUGAGUAACACGUGAGUAACCUGCCCUUGUCUUUGGGAUAACUUCAGGAAACUGGGGCUAAUACCGGAUAGGAGCUCCUGAUGCACGGUGGGGGUUGGAAAGUUUCGGCGUUGGGGGAUGGAAUCGCGGCUUAUCAGCUAGUUGGUGGGGUAGUGGCUUACCAAGGUUUUGACGGGUAGCCCGCCUGGGAGGGUGACCGGCCACAUUGGGACUGCGAUAGGGCCCAGACGCCUACGGGAGGCAGCAGUCGGGAAUAUUGCACAAUGGGCGGAAGCCUGAUGCAGCAACGCCGCGUGCGGGAUGACGUCCUUCGGGUGGUAAACCGCUGUCGCCUUUGCCGAAGCGUGAGUGACGGUAAUGGGUCAAGAAGCACCGGCUAACUACGUG